AAGAAAAGUAAGUCACAACAUACACCUCGACAAAUUCAAAACAAUUUGAUAAUAGAAUUGUCAAAAUCCUAGAUCACCGUAAACUUGGCCAACAUAAAAAAAUCGACGAACCAAGUUUUUGGUGAAAUGGGAUUAGAACCAGGAGGUUUGUGGGAGAAAGACCUAAAUUUAUGACCAUUUGAAAACAAAGUACAAGAAUACCCGACUCUAUUUCAAUGAAAUUAUUGAAAUCUUCUGGUGAUCUAGGUGCAAUGGUGCGACAACAAACACAUUACCUGGAAGAUACCUUAGGCACUGGCAAACCACGAGAACAUUGUUGAAAUCUAUAGACAACGUGCAAUAGCUUGUGUGGGCAAUGGGUUCAUGUUGGCACAAACGUGGGCAUGGACAAACUAUCCAAGUCAAGCGGAAACACAGUAACUCUAGCAGCAGUGGUGUUAGCAAUUGGCUAGUUAUUUUAUGGGUGGCAAACCACGGAAGUUACAACAAAGUACUCGGUAAUUACAAGCAUGACCAAUACUUGUGGAGGAAAACUAGCUAGACCUUGGACGACUUGUUGACUGAUGUGGGACAGGGCUCAAGGCGUCUUAGAAGUAACUAAUUUCAUGGGGAAAAUGCGGUGAACUGCCCAAGCGCUUGCUGGAAAGUGUUAAGACGGUUUUAUAAUGUAAUUUCCAACUAUACGUAGGUUGUAAAAUAAGUUGGGUAGCAUACAAUACCUUAUAGGCAAAAGGUAUUUUAUGCCUUCUUAUCCUCCAGAGCGGCCUCCCAUGGUGGAAAAACACCAAAUGGAUGGGCUUUCUUGACUCAAGAUCCAUUUCGGUCCAGAGUAUUCCUCGAGCACUGGACAACAUAACCCAUCGCUGAAAUUUCUGAAAAAUACACGAGCCCUGCUUGCCUGUUAAAAUCUUCAAGUAUUACAAUUUGCUUUACAAGAGAAGCCCGCAGCUAAUGCUUCUCAAGGAUAAUCUCAAAAGAAUUGCAAUUAGGUUAUUGUUCACCAAUAAUAUCCUCUGCAAAUAGCUGGAAGCCAAACCUGAGCAUGAUAAUCAUAUCCCUCUAUUUGACAUGAAUUUAUCGCCCAGCAAGAACUUCCAACAAUCACCAGAAGCGCUAUGUUUCUUUUUUCUUUUUCUUUUUCUUUUUCUUUUUCUUUUUCUUUUUUCUUUUUUCUUGGAAGUUUGUACACAGGUCUAACAUCCAUCCCAUCAUUAGCAUGCCGUAUAUAUAUUACACCAGAGACAGUAAGAUCUAUCACGCAACACUGCUAAGCAUUAAUGGAAUCUAAUUGCUUCAAUGAUUCUAUUAUUUGUUAAAGUACAUAAAACGGAGAAAAUCUUUUUCUUUCCAUCUUUGACUAAGC